AUACGUAGGUGGCGAGCGUUGUCCGGAAUUAUUGGGCGUAAAGAGCAUGUAGGCGGCUUAAUAAGUCGAGCGUGAAAAUGCGGGGCUCAACCCCGUAUGGCGCUGGAAACUGUUAGGCUUGAGUGCAGGAGAGGAAGGGGGAAUUCCCAGUGUAGCGGUGAAAUGCGUAGAUAUUGGGAGGAACACCAGUGGCGAAGGCGCCUUUCUGGACUGUGUCUGACGCUGAGAUGCGAAAGCCAGGGUAGCGAACGGGAUUAGAUACCCCGGUAGUCCUGGCCGUAAACGAUGGGUACUAGGUGUAGGAGGUAUCGACCCCUUCUGUGCCGGAGUUAACGCAAUAAGUACCCCGCCUGGGGAGUACGGCCGCAAGGUUGAAACUCAAAUGAAUUGGCGGGG
rnacentral:rRNA from 1 species